AUCCUCUCUCUCUGCUUCCUGAGUAGCUUGGCUCCACUCCAUCUCCCCUGCUAUAAUGUUCUGCUUUGCCACAGGCCCAAGCUGUAGCCACUCAACCAUAGACUGAGACCUCCAAACCAGCAAACCAAACAAACCCUUCCUUCUUUAAGAUGUGUGCCUUGGGUGUUUCUUCAUAGUGUUGGAAUGCUAUGACCCAUGAAGGGGGAGGAGUUGGGUCUUAAGGCAUAAGUAGGAGUCCACAGGUUGGAUGAGAAGGGAAGGACACCUAGGCAGAAUGUGCUAAGUGUGAAGGCACCGAGUAUAUGAGCCAAGGGAGGUCUGCACCAGGAGACUCAAGCUGACCACACACUGACGCCGUGUGACCAUGUGACCAUGUGACCAUGUGCCUUCUGCUCCUGCAGUCGUAUCUUCCCACAGUGGACUGUAUCACCCCGAACUGUGAGCCAGAACAAACCCUUGCUCUCAUAACUUGCUUCUGUCAGGUAUGUUAUCCUAGCCACGAGAGAUAACCAACAUGUCCAGUAUCCCAUGGUUUUGCUACAACAAUGAAGGCAGAGACCACACCACAGACAGACAGACAGAGAGCUGUGCUCUCCUGGAGAAACAACGUCAGGGACAGUUUUUCUAACUGCCAGAUGGACUCCAUCAACCUGUGGACAUUUCUGCUCUGCAAGAACACUACCAGCAGACAUUGACUGUGUGCUUAUGGUGCUCCAGGUUGCUCUGGCUAAGUGAUUCAAGACCUCUCUGUCAUGCACUGUAUCCAUGGGGUCACAGGCUCUGGGCCUUUGUAUCAUGGGUCCAAGAGUUCCUCAGGGAAGAGGGAUGCAGUAGACAUGACUAUCUUCUGGGUGAACCCCAGGACCAGCAAGUGGGUGAGGCAGUGCUGGCACCCAUAAUCUGGAAGUGCGGUGUCUGCCAAGGUCACAGGCUUUCCAAAGGAGGAUGCUCGGGCAAGAGGAGGACGCUGUUGCGCUUCUCAAGCCUGCACAGCUAUGGGGCCAAAAUGACCUGCACCUGCAGAGAGGUGGGGAGGAGGAAGCCAGCUUAAAGGCCUUCCCUCCUCUCUCCUCUGUCUCUCCCCUCCAAAGCCCAUUGUGAGGACAAAUUGGAUUUUUAAUGCAAUAAAUCAGAGAGCCAUUAGGGAUACAAA
rnacentral:lncRNA from 1 species